CCCUGGCUCAGGAUGAACGCUGGCGGCGUGCUUAACACAUGCAAGUCGAACGGUGAAGCCAAGCUUGCUUGGUGGAUCAGUGGCGAACGGGUGAGUAACACGUGAGCAACCUGCCCUGGACUCUGGGAUAAGCGCUGGAAACGGCGUCUAAUACCGGAUACGAGACACAACCGCAUGGUUAGUGUUUGGAAAGAUUUUUUGGUCUGGGAUGGGCUCGCGGCCUAUCAGCUUGUUGGUGAGGUAAUGGCUCACCAAGGCGUCGACGGGUAGCCGGCCUGAGAGGGUGACCGGCCACACUGGGACUGAGACACGGCCCAGACUCCUACGGGAGGCAGCAGUGGGGAAUAUUGCACAAUGGGCGCAAGCCUGAUGCAGCAACGCCGCGUGAGGGACGACGGCCUUCGGGUUGUAAACCUCUUUUAGCGAGGAAGAAGCGAAAGUGACGGUACUCGCAGAAAAAGCGCCGGC
rnacentral:rRNA from 1 species